GUGAAGCAUUCACUGAUGAAUUACUCCCUUAAUCUGCGGAGGAAAAACAGCUACUGGCAAAUUAAAGAGACUUGGAACAGAGCCAUGGGAACUAAAUGGCUAAAAAUGAAAACAGGCAAACAUUUGAAGAGUAUUCUACAGAACACAGAUCUUCCAACACCUCCCCCUUUUCCACAGUUAAUUCAUUGUCAUGGAAACUGAAUUUAUCAAAAUGUUCUCGUUCACUCCUAGUGACCCAGUGAGUCGACUUACAGAGCUGGUGAAAGCAUUUUCCUUUGCUGAUCUCUAGCCCAAGGAUACAAAAAUCCUUCAGCUCUUCAUCACAAUCAUCUCUCCUUAUCUCUUGUUAAAGUUUGACAAAUGAAUAAAUCACCACCAUCUAGAAAAAAGAAGAAGACUAUAGGAGAGUACAUACUAAAGGUAUUCCUUAAGA